CCAGCCCAUUUUCAGGGGCUUUGCAUCAAUGACAAGGUAAGAAAAGAAUUAUUAUGACGUUGUGAUACUAAUCUGUGUAAGGUGGGUUCGUUCGCUCGUAGGAAAACCCUGAUGCGUUGCAUAGAGCAGUUGGAGUAAAAAGUUAUCGUCGAUCAGCACUUGAGGUCAUCUGAAAGAGGUAAGGCCGGCAUGUUUUGGUUGCAACAAGUUUUUUAGAUGUUUUCUUCUCAGCAUGUCCUCGAGGCUCACUUCGGAUCACGUCAUAAAGAAGUAGCACAUCGAACGCUUCAAAGUUUUGUCUUCAGUGGAGAAAAACUUUAAUAGCUAGUGUUUUUGACCAAGGCCCAAUCAGCAGCCCAUCAGAAAGAUCACAGAUGACGUUUAAGUCUCAGGCAAUCCAGAACAGUCCUUCCAAGUUACGUCCAGUGCUGUGCAAAGCUCUGCUGUGUGAUCUAGUCCACUGGAGUACAUCCACAUGCAGUGCAGUACAGUCAUUUGGAGGCGUGCAAUGCAGUUCGGUGCAAUGAUGGUGAUGACGUGCAAUGAACUGGCUAUCCUGUAUGGCGCAUUCCAGUUAAAUCCAGGGUAGAGCGGUGUAGCGCAGUAUGGUGAAGUCAAGCUCAGGCUAAGACAGUCCAGUCCAGUGAAGUGCAGAGCCAUCAAGUCUAGUCCUCUCAAGUGCUGUCCAUCCAGUCCAGUCCACUAACGUGUAGUCCGGUCCAAUCCAAUUAGUGGAGUCCAGUCCCGUCCAUUCUCGCCCAACUCCAUUCAGUCCUUUCCAGUUAAAUGCAUUUCAAUCCGGCAUAGCCCAGGUCCAUAUAAAUCAACUGCAGUCGAGUCUAGCCCAAUCAAAUGCAGUGCAGAGCAGUACAAUCCGUAUCAGCUCAGCCCCGUCCCGUCCAGUCCAGAACAACCAAUUGCUGUGGAGUCCAGCACAAUGCAGUCCUGCUCAGUCAAGUUAGGAACAACCUAGUACAUUGCGGUCCCGUCCAGUCGAGUGAGGUGUUGUUCGGAAAAUCCCACAUCUAAGUCCAAUUAAGUGUAUUUCAGUCCAGUCUUGUCUUCAGUUGUCGCACUAACACAAUGAAGAGCGUCUACUUACAAUGUCGUACACAGGUCUUUUUAAAUGAUGCCUCAAUAAAAGGUUACCUAAUAACUUAAAAAUAAACAAAAAUAAUUGUUUAAUAAAAGAUGAAAUAAAGAAAUAAAUAGAUCUCAAUAACUGAUAACAGUGAUUAUUUCUUAAUUGAAUUCUCAAGGAAAUAAAGAAAU